GUAGGACGCAAGCGUUAUCCGGAGUUACUGGGCGUAAAGCGCGGGCAGGCGGCUUUUCAAGUCUGAUGUGAAAGCUCCCGGCUUAACCGGGAGAGGCCAUUGGAAACUGAGGAGCUGGAGGGCAGUAGAGGUAGGCGGAAUUCCGGGUGGAGUGGUGAAAUGCGUAGAGAUCCGGAGGAACACCAGAGGCGAAGGCGGCCUACUGGGCUGCACCUGACGCUGAGCCGCGAAAGCCAGGGGAGCGAACGGGAUUAGAAACCCCGGUAGUCCUGGCCGUAAACGAUGUCAACUGGGUGUCGGGGCGUACGCCUCGGCGCCGCAGCCAACGCGAUAAGUUGACCGCCUGGGGAGUACGGCCGCAAGGCUAAA
rnacentral:rRNA from 1 species